GUUCUGAACAGGCUGAUAUAUAACAAUGCCAUUAUAACUGGGUUUGAGUUGAUAGGUAGCAAGAUGAAUUCAUUUACUGCAUUAUAAUAUAAAGCAUAGUUCAAGUUGGAAUGUAACAAGCUGCCUUCCCUUUUACUGAGGGAAAAACUUACAUUUUGAGCUUCGAGGCCCAUCAGCGUGUCACUGUUCAGCCAGGAUGUCCAGCUGACACUACACUGGCCUGUCUUUCUUUUCUUUGUGCUUUGAUCAUCCAUGAAUCUGCAAGCCAGAAGGCCAAAGACCUGAUCCCUUACAUAAUGGGACAACAAAAGGCAACACACAGAGCAGCGUGAAGUACUUGAAGGAUUCAAUCAGUGGUGAAUGAGGAGACCAGAAGAUCCUUAGAGGCAUCAGCUUUGCCCCUUCACUGCUAGCAGGCAGCUGCGCUGUAUCUGCCCGGGUGCUGCGGCAGGGGCUGUGCUGGGGAGCAGCAUAGCACUUCCAGCUCCAGCACCUGCCGUGCCCGGGACUGCAGCCCAGCCUGCUCUCAUUUCACAGCCCGUCAGCAGGUCUCAGAGGAAACAAUUUAUGGUAAUGCGGGUCACUGUGUUCCCAGGUCAGGCUGAUGUAUUGGUCCUUGGCUACUUGCUGGGCUGACUUUUUGUUCCUGUUUAAAUGAAAACACCUUUGCUGUUGGGCUUGCCUUGGCUCUAGUAGUUUGUUUCUUCAGCCCAGACUUUCUGUGCGACUCUGGCCACAAUACCUGAUGUUAAAAUACCAACUUUUCUAAUCUGCUUUGCUUGAAAAAGAAAGUAAUGUGAACGUCCCUGUGGUGCAAUGCCACACUGCAAGUGACUGCAAGAGUCUCAGAUGCUGUGAUAAAGGGGACCUUGGAGAAAUAGAUGCUGUUCAGGCUCCUUGCCUGGUGUCAGUCCCUUUAUGGAUAAUUUCACCUGUUUUUAGCCUGAUUACAUGUUUAUCUACUGAAUCUGUGUAGCUUCCUGGUGUGACUAUUUGGUGACCAGAGGAGUGGAGAAAUUGGCAAUAAAAGAGCAUAGCUGUGAUGGGGUAUAAAAAGCUAGCUUUUGAAUAUGCUUGUUUACCAAGCAUAGCACUAAAACCAUAAUGUCUACAGAUUUUUAUGUAUAUUCAAGAGGCAGUGGAUAUUUCAAUACCACUGAGCUGUGGGCUUAGAGUUCUCCAGUUUCCAGACUAAAAGCUGCAGUCUCCGAAAUCUAUAGAAGCAGACAUUAGCCUUGCCAGCUCCUGUUUCUCAACAAGAAGUCGCUCCUGCCUCAUCCCUGUUCCCUCCCCAGCUCCAUGACAGGGAAGGGCUUCCAGGCAAGCAAGAAAUCAACCUGGAGGCAGCCACCAGCCCUUCCUAGCGGGACACAGCUGGAAGCAAACAGCCUCGUGGGCAUGGGGAAAGGUGGAAAGAAGCCGCCAACCCACACAGCCAGGGCAGCUGGAGGCCAUGCUACCAAUGCUGCCCAAGCAGAGGACACUGUGUCUGUGACUGAGACCAACAGGAAUACUGAAACAGUACCUGUUAGUGACAUUUAUCGAAAGUGCUGCUGGCUGGAGGAGAGACAAAGCUGCCCCAUGUUAGGAAGCAUGUUGCUGCAGGUAGAUGCUUGGAUUGGAACUUGCCAAAACCUGGGUCCAGUUCCCACCAUCAG